rnacentral:rRNA from 1 species
UACGAAGGGGGCUAGCGUUGUUCGGAAUUACUGGGCGUAAAGGGCGCGUAGGCUGUGCUGUAAGUCAGGCGUGAAAGCCCCGGGCUCAACCUGGGAAUUGCGUUUGAUACUGCGGCGCUGGAAGGUGGGAGAGGAUGGCGGAAUUCCCAGUGUAGAGGUGAAAUGCGUAGAUAUUGGGAAGAACACCGGUGGUGUAAACGGCUUUCUGGACCGUAACUGACGCUGAGGCACGAAAGCGUGGGUAGCAAACAGG